rnacentral:rRNA from 1 species
GACGAACGCUGGCGGCGUGCUUAACACAUGCAAGUCGAACGGAAAGGCCCUGCUUUUGUGGGGUGCUCGAGUGGCGAACGGGUGAGUAACACGUGAGCAACCUGCCCUUGACUUUGGGAUAACUUCAGGCAACUGGGGCUAAUACCGGAUAGGAGCUCCUGCUGCAUGGUGGGGGUUGGAAAGUUUCGGCGGUUGGGGCUGGACUCGCGGCUUAUCAGCUUGUUGGUGGGGUAGUGGCUUACCAAGGCUUUGACGGGUAGCCGGCCUGAGAGGGUGACCGGCCACAUUGGGACUGAGAUACGGCCCAGACUCCUACGGGAGGCAGCAGUGGGGAAUAUUGCACAAUGGGCGGAAGCCUGAUGCAGCAGCGCCGCGUGCGGGAUGACGGCCUUCGGGUUGCAAACCGCUUUCGCCUGUGACGAAGCGUGAGUGACGGUAAUGGGUAAAGAAGCACCGGCUAACUACGUG